AACUUACCUCAAGAUUAGACUUCUUCUAAGGGUCGUCAUAGAUGAUGACGUUGAUAGGUUGUAAGUGUAAAGACAGUAAUGUCAAAGCUGAGCAAUACUAAUUACCCGUUAGCUUUCUUAGU
rnacentral:rRNA from 1 species